rnacentral:tRNA from 6 species
GUUUCUAUAGUUGAAUAACAACGGUGGUUUUUCAUAUCACCAGUCAUGGUUAAAUUCCAUGUGGAAAUA